AAAAUUUGCAGAUGUGAAUCUCCUUGGGAGCAUCAGGACAACUCUGGCAUUUCUUCCCCUUCUAAGGAAAUACAAGGGAGAGCAGGAAUGACCUACAGAGGUGAACUAGAGACAUCCAACCAGAGUUCCAGCUCUGUGGAGCCUCUGUGACCUUGGGCAGGAAACUUCAUGACGUAUUGUUUUCAUGUCCAGCAUCAUUGCCUAUUUUACUCUGGGAAAUGGCAUUUAUUCUAUGACCAAGGCAGCUAUUGAAAAAUUUUGUGAUGCUUUAAGACUGGAAAUGAAGAAGUUUGGUGUCCAGCACCUGAGGGGAGGGCUCCUGAGGAUGCUGUGUGACAGACCUGCUUGAGGCACAUGAGGCUGUUCCAGCUGUGCACACCAUCCCUCUGCUGGAGUUUGUCUGCGUCCCUUCCUUCUCCCUGUGCAUAGGACCUGCACCCCAGGCCUCCUGAGAG